rnacentral:rRNA from 1 species
GAGUUUGAUCCUGGCUCAGAUUGAACGCUGGCGGCAUGCCUUACACAUGCAAGUCGAACGGUAACGGGCCUUCGGGUGCCGACGAGUGGCGAACGGGUGAGUAAUACAUCGGAACGUGCCCGAUCGUGGGGGAUAACGAGGCGAAAGCUUUGCUAAUACCGCAUACGAUCUACGGAUGAAAGCAGGGGACCGCAAGGCCUUGCGCGGACGGAGCGGCCGAUGGCAGAUUAGGUAGUUGGUGGGAUAAAAGCUUACCAAGCCGACGAUCUGUAGCUGGUCUGAGAGGAUGAUCAGCCACACUGGGACUGAGACACGGCCCAGACUCCUACGGGAGGCAGCAGUGGGGAAUUUUGGACAAUGGGCGCAAGCCUGAUCCAGCCAUGCCGCGUGCAGGAUGAAGGCCUUCGGGUUGUAAACUGCUUUUGUACGGAACGAAAAGCCUUCUUCUAAUACAGGAGGGUCAUGACGGUACCGUAAGAAUAAGCACCGGCUAACUACGUG